rnacentral:rRNA from 1 species
UACGUAGGGGGCAAGCGUUGUCCGGAUUUAUUGGGCGUAAAGAGCGUGUAGGCGGCCGCACAGGUCCGUUGUGAAAACUGGAGGCUUAACCUUCAGACGUCGAUGGAAACCGUGCGGCUAGAGUCCGGAAGAGGAGAAUGGAAUUCCCGGUGUAGCGGUGAAAUGCGUAGAGAUCGGGAGGAACACCAGAGGCGAAGGCGGCGACCUGGACAGGCACUGACACUCAACUGCGAAAGCGUGGGGAGCAAACAGG